GCCGGGAUGGCCGAGUGGAUUAACCUCAUACUUGAGGAGCCUGUGACCCUUACGGGUCUCGUGGGUUCGAAUCCCACUCCCGGCGCCA
rnacentral:tRNA from 1 species